rnacentral:misc_RNA from 1 species
CUGGGACCGGGUGGGCCGAUCUCCCCCCGAUCACCCUUGAUGCCCAUGUCUCCUUUAAACCCAGGAAAGCCGUCUUCACCCUUCUCGCCCUUUGUGCCCUUCAGACCACGGAUGCCAUCGGCCCCCUUGACUCCUCGAGGACCUGGGUAGCCAAUCGGACCCUGGGGGCCAGGUGGACCCUGACCUCCUUUCUCUCCUGGAGGGCCUUCUUUGCCAGGGUGUCCCGGGGGUCCGUCAGCACCGGGCAUUCCUGGAAGGCCUGGUUUCCCCAAGG